UAGAGACGGGGUUUCACCAUGUUAACCAGGAUGGUCUCGAUCUCCUGACUUCGUGAUCCGCCUGCCUCGGCCUCCCCAAGUGCUGGGAUUACAGGCGUGAGCCACUGCGCCCGGCUAUUUUAGAUAAGAAAACAGAAGCUUACAGAAGUUGAGAAAGUUCCCAAGAGCAGAGGGCAAUUAUGCGGCAAAGCUGUGAUUUGAUACGGAUCUGAGAUACUCCAGAACCCCUAUUCCUUUCACGGCAGGAGGCUGACUCCCAACCCUUUAAUAGACUGCAGAGCCCUGAAGCAGAGCUGCCUCCCUCAGUCUGCAGAAUCCAGGUUGCUCUUCAGGAUCUAGGCAGCUCAUUGAAUACCUGGUGUUAACCCUUAAUGGACAAAGCUACUAUCAACCAUGGCUGCUGCUGUGGCCUCCAUGUUACCAAGAAGCCUCCAGGUUGAGCUCCUGACUUGUGGACCCUGAGGGAUCGUGGCAGGGUGAGAGGACACAGGCUCUGGAGUUCCUGGGACCCAAGCACAGUGGCUGCAACUUCCUUGUG